rnacentral:lncRNA from 1 species
AGCAGUUGUCAAGAACAAGCACCUUAUGAAAGGCAGCAAAGGGAGCCAAAAAGGUAGUUGAUCCAUUUUCUUAGAAAGAUUGGUAUGAUGUGAAAGCUCCUGCUAUGUCCAAGAAAUAUCAGAAAGACACUAAUCACCAAAACCAAGGAACAAAAAUUGCAUCUGAUGGUCUCAAGGGUUAUGUGUUUGCAGUGAGUCUUUGUUGACUUGCAGAAUGAUGAAGUUGCAUUUAGAAAAUUCAAACUGAUUAUCAAAGAUGUUCAGGGCAAAAAUUGCCUGACUUAACUUCCAUGGCAUGGGUCUUACUCCAGGACAAAAUGUGUUCCAGGGUGAAAAAAUGGCACACCAUGAUUGAAGCUCAUGUUGACAUCAAGACUACUACUUAUGAUUACUUGUUUCAUUUGUUCUGUAUUGGUUUUACUAAAAAAACCAACAAUCAGAUACGGAAGAUCUCUUAUGCUCUGCACCAACAGGUCUGCCAAAUCCAGAAGAAGAUGCUGGAAAUCAUGACCUGACAGGUACAGACAAAUGACUUGAAAGAUGUGGUCAAUACAUUGAUUCCGGAUAGCACUGGAAAAGACAUAGAAAAGGCUUGCCAAUCUAUUUCUCCUCUCCAUGAUGUUUUCAGUAGAAAAGUAAAAAUGCUGAAGAAGCCCAGGUUUGAACUGGAAAAACUCAUGGAGCUUCACAGUGAAGGUAGCAGUGCUGGAAAAGCAACUGGGGAUGAGAUACGUGCUAAUGUUGAAUGAGCUGUUGGAUAUGAACCACAGUCCAAUAAUCU